CCUACAGAAACAAUAGUUUGGAAGCCAUCCAUGGCCAUAAGUGCCAUUGUGAGAACCUUCGGAUUGAGCUAGCUGAUCACAGAAGAGAAGGUCAGAGAGAUGCAUUCAGGCAGGCCUGGAAAAAAGCAAACAUUCCUAUUGGGAACUACCACUGGAGGCGACAUGUUACCAAACUGCAAGCAGUAUCCAGAAGCUAAGAGUCAUCCCUGGUCAACAACUAACAGGACAACAGGGACCUUAAUCCUACAGUUACAAGGACUGCCAACAAGUGACCUUGGAUAAAGACCCUAAGCCCCAGAUGAGAACUGAAACUCUGGCAACACCUUGAUUUCAGUGAGAUCCUAUACAGAGAAUCUAGCCACACUGUGGCCUGGACUUCUGACCUACAAUAACUAUGAGAUAAUAAAUGUGUUCUUUUAAGCCACUAAA